rnacentral:tRNA from 1 species
GCCGGGGUGGCGGAACUGGCAGACGCGUACGUCUCAAAAACGUAUGAUUCUAAACAAUCGUGAGAGUUCGACCCUCUCUCCCGGCA